GGAAAAAGUAGGGUGGUGAGAGAAGAAGUAAGUGGAAUUAAGGAAUGAAAUUGAAGGGAGAGAUUUUACAUUCCUAUCUUCUUCUUUGGAUCGGGUGACAAUGGAGAAGAGAAUGAGGAGAGAGGAGCUUUUUGAAAGGUGAAAUUACAAUUCUACCAACCAAGACUGAUUGGUGAUGCAACCAAGAAAUUAAUAAGCGAGUAGAGGAUAACUGUGAUUUUGCAUGAACUCAGCUGCCAAUGUUUAUAUUCUCCUCCUUUUCUUCCCGAUUUGGGGAGAUAUUAUUAAGUGGUAUCAGUGAGGGACCCAUAUUUUCCUUUUUCCCCACUUUCUCCUGGUUUCCCAAACAUGGGAAGUAGGAUUCUAUUUGCGGUUUUCACUCCCUCCUCCCAUUCCCAAAGUUAAUUGGUGAACUUUUGUGUGCUUUUUGCAGGAACAUAUUUUAAAUGCUUAUGUCAUAUCUGUAAAGAAUGCAACAUUGUCUUUUUUUUCCCCCAUAUUCUUUUUUAAUUAUAAUACUUGUCAUAUUUUUCUAUUAUGUGCAGGUUAAUAUUCUUAAAGUUCUUU
rnacentral:misc_RNA from 1 species